rnacentral:tmRNA from 1 species
ACGGUGGGAAAACAUUUAAACGCAGAAGAAAAUUUUGCAUUAGCUGCAUAAGCUACGUCCCUCAUACUUGUGCCUACCAAGUGUGAAUGGACGUCAAACCGUAGGCUGGCUUAAUUUAGUCGUUCAUAUGAAUUAGGCGAGACAACAUGAACUGGAGUACUGUAGUUUGUCUGUGAGCGAUAGGUACUUGAGAUUUAAAUCAUAGACUGUGCUCGGAGAAGUCUAUAUGGCAACGCUUUUGGACAGGAGUUCGACUCUCCUCAUCUCCACCA